AUUGAACGCUGGCGGCAUGCUUUACACAUGCAAGUCGAGCGGCAGCGCGGGGCAACCUGGCGGCGAGCGGCGAACGGGUGAGGAAUGCAUCGGAACGUACCCGAGAGUGGGGGAUAACGCCGCGAAAGCGGCGCUAAUACCGCAUAUUCUCUUAGGAGGAAAGUGGGGGACCGCAAGGCCUCACGCUCACGGAGCGGCCGAUGUCCGAUUAGCUAGUUGGUGGGGUAAAGGCUUACCAAGGCGACGAUCGGUAGCUGGUCUGAGAGGAUGAUCAGCCACACUGGGACUGAGACACGGCCCAGACUCCUACGGGAGGCAGCAGUGGGGAAUUUUGGACAAUGGGGGCAACCCUGAUCCAGCCAUGCCGCGUGCGGGAAGAAGGCCUUCGGGUUGUAAACCGCUUUUAGCCGGGAAGAAAAGGGCAGGGACAAUACCCCUGUCUCUUGACGGUACCGGCGGAAUAAGCACCGGCUAACUACGUGCCAGCCGCCGCGGUAACAC
rnacentral:rRNA from 1 species